UGGUCACUACAGUCCCAUUAGUUUUCUUUGUAGCCUCGUUUGAAUGUCGCGGUUGCGCACAUUUGUAUGGAAUGGGGUUAGUUUAAGUUACCCCUUUUGUUAAGACGGAAACAAAAUAGCUAGCCAGCUCAUUAGUUAUUUUGUGACAGUUCUAACGUUAAAGCAAACUGUUAACCAACCUCUUCUAAUUAAUCAAGCCUGCUAGCUAAUUCCAGCAGUAGCCCCAGCUCUUCCUCCUGCCAGCUAUACAGCCAACAAAGAGCUCCGGCCCUCAGUCAGACAGAAAUGACUGAGAAGUAUUCAGAGUAUAGUGUGACUUCAAACAUCCGGCGAAGGCUACUGCAAAUGUCUCAAGAUUUCUGACAUCUAUCCAACAAGAGCAGUCUACACUUAAUGCAGAAAAUGCUGCUGUUCCUCAGACAUUUUAUAUGUCCAAAGAGGCCGCUGAGGAAAUGUUCAGUGGUCAGGACUUUGAGGAUGAACUGUUUGUGGAUGCUUUGAUGGACACAAGGCUCCAAAAUUGUUUGCAGCAUGGAGAAGAUCAUUUUCGCCUUGUGCGACCAAAGCUAAUAAUUACAACAGAUGAAAGGUGUUGUAUCGACCUAAUGGAUUCAUAGGCUGGCAGAGCUCACAACAGACUUGCGUGCACAAGGGUACUGAACAAAAAUAUAAGCGCAACAAUUUAAACGAUUUUACGGAGUUACAGUUCAUAUAAAUUAAUCAGUCAAUUGAAAUAAAUGAAUU